CACGGGGUUGCGAGCGUUGUCCGGAAUUACUAGGCGUAAAGGGCAGGCAGGCGGAUCCAUAAGUUUAUCGUUUAAGGCAUCGGCUUAACCGGCGUAGGGCGGUAGAUACUGUGGAUCUGGAAUGCGGUUGGGGAAGACAGAAUUCCUGGUGUAGCGGUGGAAUGCGCAGAGAUCAGGAGGAAUACCGAAGGCGAAGGCAGUCUUCCAAGCCGUUAUUGACGCUCAACUGCGAAGGUGUGGGUAUCAAACAGGAUUAGAUACCCUGGUAGUCCCU
rnacentral:rRNA from 1 species